CAACAAAGAAGUUUUUCCGCUCCAACUGGGUGCACUGGAUGGCAAAUGGCCUUGCAACCAUGCACACCGUGACUGCUGCCUUGACAUUCUCCCAAGCUGACAUCCCGACCGGUAUGACACUGAUGCCUUUGGGCAGAAAUCAGAGCCGGUUUGCUACAUGCCUCUGUGUAGCCACGAUGCCUGUAGCGCCUCGGAGAGCCCCCAGUGCCCUGGUGGGGAAAUGGAGCGAGCACGUGGGCCCCAGAUGAACUCCAAGAAGAGAGCAGGCAUUAUCCACAGUGAUCCUGCUACCCAUUUUCAGUUUUAAGUGUUCACAUUGACAUGGUUUUUUCCUUCUUUUUUUUUUUUUUUUUUUUUUUUUCCUUUUCUCUCCCUUCUUCUCUUGCCUGUGAGAGGGUUGGUUUCCUUUUUCUCCCUCGGUUGCAGAGUCCUUGGGGAGCUGGGCUUUCAUGAGCUGGAAAAGGAGUGCACAAGCGUCUGAUCAGCCCUUAUUAGUGUUGAGAAAGAUCUAAUAGUUCCUGGCUUCUGAGACCAUUACCUGUCAUUUAGUUUUAUUAAGUCAGUGAUGAGAAAGUUUAAAAUUAAAGGCUUUGUAAAUUGUAUUCCAGUUUGAAAGGGAGGCACCUACCAGGAAGUUAGUGCCGAAGCUUGUGGAUGGGCUUCUGGGACCAAUACCAGACCUGAGCAUUUAUCCUCAGCCGCUUUGACAAAGAACCUGUGCCAAGGCAUGGAGGGGUUUGUGGCAAAGCCUCGGGGUAUCCAGAAAUCUUCAGCUGAACCAUAUAAUCCUUCCUUUGCCAGGCUACUCACAUUUAGACCUCCGGCGACUGUUCAGGAGGAAGGGUGGUCUUCUGGUCGAGUCAUAACCUAAAGCUGUGGGUUCCGGUUCAGCUGAAAUGAUGCCACGCAGCUCAUUCAAUCUCCUCAUGAUCAUUUCCUGAUUUAUAAAGAGGAAGAGCUGGUGUUACUAUUGAUUAUUUUUUUCCUUACCUGUUGCCUGUGGUCAGCUCUUUGGGACAGGUACUGUCCUUGACUCUUGUGCCUACAACAAAAGCUCCAACUCCUUUGAGCCUUCAAGGCAAAAAUAAAGACUUUUGUUAAAUCUGUAACA
rnacentral:lncRNA from 1 species